rnacentral:lncRNA from 1 species
CUUACCACUGAUACCCCUUACUGGUUUCCGUGGUAGUGAGUGGACCUGCACACAAAAGGAUAUACCUGAUUUCAAUGGGUGCCAUGGUGAUGGGGGCCACAGAUUCACAGAGGCAGCUGCUGUCCACCACCACCAUGAACAGGUUGCUGCUUGGGAUUUGCUGGAUGACAAAGGACCUGUUGGAACAAGAUUUAAAGAAGUUCUGAGGAAAAAAGAGAGUCAGUCAAAGACAGAGGAAGAACUGGAGGGAAAAAGAUGAUGCGAUUUCAAGACAGCCUCCCGUGACAAGACAGAGUAUUUGCCGCACACUAUCUUCCGAGAGGGGCUUUCCUGAGCAAAUGAUGAAAGCGAUCACCAUGCCUCCCUCAUACUCCCUCCAAACAAGCACGCGGGAUGGGGAGGAACGCAGGGAUAAGAUCCCCCGAGGACCACAGGAUUGCACAUGUGGAGAGCUUGUUUGGCUUGCCUUUCAUUAAAUGGGUACAAAACUGUAGCUUGAAAAAUAUUUGGUCAGGA